GGAUUAGAUACCCCGGUAGUCCACGCCGUAAACGAUGGAUGCUAGCCGUUGGACAGCUUGCUGUUCAGUGGCGCAGCUAACGCAUUAAGCAUCCCGCCUGGGGAGUACGGUCGCAAGAUUAAAACUCAAAGGAAUUGACGGGGGCCCGCACAAGCGGUGGAGCAUGUGGUUUAAUUCGACGCAACGCGAAGAACCUUACCAGCUCUUGACAUGUCAGGUCGGUUUCCAGAGAUGGAUUCCUCCCCGCAAGGGCCUGAACACAGUGCUGCAUGGCUGUCGUCAGCUCGUGUCGUGAGA
rnacentral:rRNA from 1 species